AACGCUGGCGGCGUGCUAAUACAUGCAAGUCGAACGAAGAGCCUUAACCGAAGAUGAUGACGUGCUUGCACUGAAUCUGAUUCACCUUAGGGUUACUGAGUGGCGGACGGGUGAGUAACGCGUGGGUAACCUGCCUUAGACAGGGAGAUAACAUCAAGAAAUUGGUGCUAAUACCGCAUAUGCUCACAGUAUCGCAUGAUACAGUGAGGAAAAACUCCGGUGGUCUAAGAUGGACCCGCGUCUGAUUAGCUAGUUGGAGGGGUAACGGCCCACCAAGGCGACGAUCAGUAGCCGACUUGAGAGAGUGAUCGGCCACAUUGGGACUGAGACACGGCCCAAACUCCUACGGGAGGCAGCAGUAGGGAAUAUUGCACAAUGGGGGAAACCCUGAUGCCAGCGACGCCGCGUGAAGGAUGAAGUAUUUCGGUAUGUAAACUUCUAUCAGCAAGGAAGAAAAUGACGGUACUUGACUAAGAAGCCCCGGCUAAAUACGUGCCAGCAGCCGC
rnacentral:rRNA from 1 species